AUACAUCUACACUAAAGAGCGGCUGUAUCUGGUGGUUUUGGCUAUAUUACUUUUUUGUCUCAUGCAGCACACUGCCUGCAUCUGAGUAACAAACGAUAAAAUACAACAAAC